rnacentral:misc_RNA from 1 species
UCUCCCAUUUAACCUCCUCUCCUUCCUCUCGCCUUCUUCACCAUUCUCCAUUUCUCUGUCCUUUUUACUCUCCAAAUUCAUCACCAUGAAACUCAUUACCGAUCUCCCCAAAAAGCUCUUCAAAUCCAAAAAAAAACGAUCCAUUUCCAGAUCCGAAAAUACUUCAUUCGGGUCCGUAACCACCUCCUCCUCCUCUUCCGGGUCCGUAACCACUCCGACAAGUGUAUUACCCAGUACUAAUACUCAAUGGCCGUCUGAAAUCUCCGCCGAAGUUUACUCCGAACUGGUACAAGCCUUUCAAAUGAUCGACGGAGACGGCGACGGGAAAAUACACAAGGAGGAACUCUCGGCGAUUUUGACUCGAGUAGGAUCGGAUCCUCCAACCGAGGAAGAACUAGUACAGUUGCUUAAUGAAGUAGAUGUGAACGGAGAUGGAUGUAUUAGUUUACAGGAAUUCGGAGCUAUAAGCUCGGCGUUCGGACCGCCGUCGUGUGAUUCCGAGAUGAGAGAUACGUUUGAGUUUUUCGACGCUAAUCACGACGGGAAGAUCACGGCGGAGGAGCUGUUUAACGUGUUUAGAACGAUCGGAGAUGGGCGGUGCACGUUAGAGGAGUGUCGGCGUAUGAUAAGAGGUGUUGAUAAAAAUGGAGAUGGAUUCGUAUGCUUUGAGGACUUUAGUCUUAUGAUGGAACAGCAGAGAUAAUCGUUGGAUCAAAAUUUUUGCUUGUGAUUCCUGAAAAAAAAUAAGUCUUUUUAUUUUAUUUUUGGGGAAAAAAUGAUGUGAUUAUUUAAUAACUUGGAUUAAUUAGAAGAAUGAUCAUGCCAAUAUUGUGUAUAACAAAUUUAUGGACUCAGA